GAUAAUGAAGUAAAAAAUUUACAUUUAGUUUCGACCUAAAAAUAAGGAUUCAUAUUUAUCCCUUAUCU
rnacentral:tRNA from 1 species